GUGGGGAAUAUUGGGCAAUGGGCGCAAGCCUGACCCAGCAACGCCGCGUGAGGGAAGAAGGUUUUCGGAUUGUAAACCUCUGUCGCAGAUGACGAAGGAAGUGACGGUAAUCUGUGAGGAAGCCCCGGCUAACUACGUGCCAGCAGCCGCGGUAAUACGUAGGGGGCGAGCGUUGUCCGGAAUUACUGGGCGUAAAGGGAGCGUAGGCGGUCGAUUAAGUUGGAUGUGAAAUACCCGGGCUUAACUUGGGGGGUGCAUCCAAUACUGGUUGACUAGAGUACAGGAGAGGAAAGCGGAAUUCCUAGUGUAGCGGUGAAAUGCAUAGAUAUUAGGAGGAACAUCGGUGGCGAAGGCGGCUUUUUGGACUGACACUGACGCUGAGGCUCGAAAGCGUGGGGAGCAAACAGGAUUAGAAACCCCGGUAGUCC
rnacentral:rRNA from 1 species